CGGGAAUUCGAUUAGAGUUUGAUCCUGGCUCAGAUUGAACGCUGGCGGCAGGCCUAACACAUGCAAGUCGAGCGGUAGAGAGGUGCUUGCACCUCUUGAGAGCGGCGGACGGGUGAGUAAUGCCUAGGAAUCUGCCUGGUAGUGGGGGAUAACGCUCGGAAACGGACGCUAAUACCGCAUACGUCCUACGGGAGAAAGCAGGGGACCUUCGGGCCUUGCGCUAUCAGAUGAGCCUAGGUCGGAUUAGCUAGUUGGUGAGGUAAUGGCUCACCAAGGCGACGAUCCGUAACUGGUCUGAGAGGAUGAUCAGUCACACUGGAACUGAGACACGGUCCAGACUCCUACGGGAGGCAGCAGUGGGGAAUAUUGGACAAUGGGCGAAAGCCUGAUCCAGCCAUGCCGCGUGUGUGAAGAAGGUCUUCGGAUUGUAAAGCACUUUAAGUUGGGAGGAAGGGCAUUAACCUAAUACGUUAGUGUUUUGACGUUACCGACAGAAUAAGCACCGGCUAACUCUGUGCCAGCAGCCGCGGUAAUACGAAUCACUAGUGAAUUCGCGGCCGCCUGCAGGUCGACCAUAUGGGAG
rnacentral:rRNA from 1 species